GGGAGUGGGCGGGGCUAUGGGGCUUCAUACAGGUGUAGGAGGGUGUAACAUGGCGUCACAGGGGAGUGGGCGGGGCUACAGGGCUUCAUACAGGUGCAGGAGGGUGUAACAUGGCGUCACAGGGGAGUGGGCGGGGCUAUGGGGCUUCAUACAGGUGUAGGAGGGUGUAACAUGGCGUCACAGGGGAGUGGGCGGGGCUACAGGGCUUCAUACAGGUGUAGAAGGGUGUAACAUGGCGUCACAGGGGAGUGGGCGGGGCUAUGGGGCUUCAUACAGGUGUAGGAGGGUGUAACAUGGCGUCACAGGGGAGUGGGCGGGGCUACAGGGCUUCAUACAGGUGUAGAAGGGUGUAACAUGGCGUCACAGGGGAGUGGGCGGGGCUAUGGGGCUUCAUACAGGUGUAGGAGGGUGUAACAUGGCGUCACAGGGGAGUGGGCGGGGCUACAGGGCUUCAUACAGGUGUAGAAGGGUGUAACAUGGCGUCACAGGGGAGUGGGCGGGGCUAUGGGGCUUCAUACAGGUGUAAGAGGGUGUAACAUGGCGUCACAGGGGAGUGGGCGGGGCUAUGGGGCUUCAUACAGGUGUAAGAGGGUGUAACAUGGCGUCACUGGGGAGUGGGCGGGGCUAUGGGGCUUCAUACAGGUGUAAGAGGGUGUAACAUGGCGUCACUGGGGAGUGGGCGGGGCUAUGGGGCUUCAUACAGGUGUAAGAGGGUGUAACAUGGCGUCACAGGGGAGUGGGCGGGGCUACAGGGCUUCAUACAGGUGCAAGAGGGUGUAACAUGGCGUCACAGGGGAGUGGGCGGGGCUAUGGGGCUUCAUACAGGUGUAGGAGGGUGUAACAUGGCGUCACUGGGGAGUAUGACAGUUUAAAAGGCGGUUGUCAAAUUUGACAGUUCAUAAUUUAUUUUAAAUUGACAGUUGAAAAAGCGGUUGUCAAAUUUGACAGUUCAUAAUUUAUUUUAAAUUGACAGUUUAAAAAGCGGUUGUCAAAUUUGACAGUUCAAAACGUGGUUGUCAAAUUUGACAGUUCAUAAUUUAUUUCAAAUUGGGGAGUAUGACAGCUGUCAAAAAGAGCAUAAGGCACAACCAUUAGCAACAUUUUUCGCAUAGUGUCAAAAAAGCUGUCAAAAAGUUUGACAGUUCAUAAUUUAUUUAAUUAAAAUAAAAAUAUGACAAAAUUUGUUGAAUUUUUUUAUAACUUA